GUUAAGGGGUUGGGUCUUAGGAUGAGAAGCAGUGGGAGGCCAAUAUCUUAUUUGUACAGCUGGCCUUGACCAUGAAAAAUGCUUCGCCUCAUGGAUACUGAGGAUUAUUUCUGUAUUCUUGACAAAUAUCUCCUGUUCUUUUAAGUCCUACCUCAACAGGCCUUCUGAGAAAAUUCCUCCCUGAAAUCCCCAUUCUCUGGAGCACUCCAUCAUUGGGAGGUGGAUAAAAUUCAUCACAUCCCAAAUUAAGAGAUGAAAAUGAAUUUUGUUAUCACUGUCUUGCUUCUUACUCUUCAGCCACCUGGAUUGGGUGUCCCAGCAUAGUACCCCUGCAGGACUCUGUUCCCUCCAUCUCAAAACCUGUUACACUACAAUGAAAUGGACUGUUGACUUGUCUCUUUUUCUACAUGUAAGUGUGAAUGUCCCCAGGACAGAUAGUUGCUAAGCCCUGAUGCCUAGAACAUUGUUUAGCAAUAAAUAUUUGGUGAGAGAAUGAAGGAAGGAAGGAAUUGGAGAGGGCAAAAUUUUCUCUGUCAAGGAGGCAAAGACUUUACUCCCCAAAGCAAGAAAAUGGCAAAAGAAAUCUUGUAUGUGUUUCAAUGUUGUCUCUGUAGACCAUUUUCUCCUGUCUUCCAGAAAAACUGUGGCCAAAAUGGUCUUUUGCCUCCAUCCUGGGGCAAUCUCUCAGGUUACACUGAAUACACGCCAUGAGUGUGACAUGAGCACUAAGGGAGGAAGGGCACUUCUGAUAGAGUCACUUAUUCCACUUUGUGGGCCAAUACAUGCCCCAUGCAGCUUGGGAGGUGAAUAAAGUUCAUCACUUCUAUUAGGAGUUGAAAAUGAAUUGUGUUAUCACUGUCUGGCUUCUUACUUUUCACCCACACACCUGCUUGGGAAUUUUUAGCUUUAAUUUUGUAAGAUCCACACUUAGGAUAUAUAAGCUGGACUCACUGUCCUGUUUGGAUUUUACUGAUAUGCAGAAUUACUGAAUUUUCCUCCAGAAAUCCUCCGACAUCGCCUCCUCAGUACCCACCUUCCUUCCAGGCUAGAUGAAAACAAUGUUUCAUUUCAUCCACAGAUGGAAAGAAAUCAAUUAGAUGCCAAUGUCAGUGUGAUUCAGUGGGCACUAGGCAGAGGCUGGGGGAUUGUUACUGGCUCUGUGGGUGGAUAGGAAAGCAAAAGGCUGAGAAAUAAGAAUUACCAGGAUGGAAGCUGUGAAAGUGUUUUUUAAGCUGAUGGCACAUAGCACACCAGAGCUAUUAGCAGAGGGAGAGUCUGGCAUCUUGUGAAGACACAAGUAAAAAUAUCCUUUUGGCAUCCAGGAGUCCUACAGAUCUGAUUCUACCCUAACAAUUCUGGCUUGGCCCCCAGGUCCCCUCUGAGGCUCCUAGCAAUGGAUGCCGGGAAGGUGACUGAAGUUCUGAGAGCCAACUCUUCGUGAAGCACUUCAGGCUUUUUUCAUCUGCAGGCUCAGCUAACCCUCUCAACGGCUCUUUGAGAAAGGCCAGGUUAUGUCACAGACAGAUCAGGGCUCUUAGGGUCCAAGAGCAGAACAGGCAACUGGGAAGAAAGAUGGACAUGGAGUCAGGGAUACCAAUGACGUUCGUGACCAGCAGGAGAAGCUGACACCUUUUGCCAUGAAGUUGCACACACUGGCCCCAAAUCUGAAGUAACUAAAGAAGAAGAUCCAAUAGGAGUGAGAGUUGCUGCUGCGAUGUCAUCAGAGCGAGCUAGGAGGACAGUGGCAGCAUAUGUGUGAGUGGUAAUAGCACCUGGAUUCUUUAUCAACCAACAGGAAGAAGAAAAAAAAAAGGUGCUAUUUUUUUCCCUACCACCUUCCUAAUCUCAUUCAAAAUGUCUCUUAUGGUCAAUGUAUCCUGAAGCUAUACAGGGAAUUCUGGAAAUUCUGAGAAGACUAGUUCCAGCUUAGCUAGGUCAACACAGUUCAAAGCCCACAUACUCCUCUUUGACAACUUGGCACCCAUUUAUAUGUCCUUUAGCCAUUUUGAACUUCUCAACAAAAAUAAUGCAGACUAUUUUUUCACCUAAUGUAAAAGCAAAUAUCCUUUAUAUUUAACCAGAAAAAAAUCUCGUAACUAUUACAGUUUUUGUUUCUGUAACUUGUUGUAUCCUCAGCUCUUAUUUUUAACUUCCUUUUACUACAUAAAUUUUACAUUCCCUUUGCGCUCUGCAAGCAGAUUGGCUUCUUUUGGUUCUGUGCCUGGUGGGUUACCCUAAAGUUUAUUCCUGAAAGGUCUGGGUCACUGGCAGUUCUACAGGUAUUGGGUUGUGGUUUUUCAUUUGACUUUAACCACAGGACAUGAGAGUGCUCAGAGGCACUUCAGGGUAUCAUCUCCUUCUGGACGUACUCCUUCUUAUCCCGACUGUGUAACAACAAUCUAAUUUCCUCUGAAUAGUCAGGAUCAAUCACCUGGGUUGGUACAGUAAACCCUUUCUUUGCCUGUUGAGCACAGACAUGAGAGACUUAAAGUGGCCGAAUGGAAGUCUUGACUUCCAGUUUAAUCAAAUCAUCACUGUGUCCCAAUGGCAGAACCUAUCCCUCCCUAAGACCUCUAGACCAAAGUUGCAAGGAUGAAAAGCAAAAAUAUCACUAGUGGAUUGCUAGGUACUAUGAGGGAAGAAGCCACUCUCAUUUCUAUCUCUUGAUUCUCAGAUCUGUGAUCCAGGCUAUGGGAAACACACCAUAUGUUGGAUAGUGAUUGAGGGCAUGCACUAUAACAUUUGGGGGGACAUUACCCCAGCCUGUAAGAUUUAACCAGGUUAGUGUCAUAGCUGAGUCUUCUCACAAAAUCUGUUCCAGUUGUUUAUUGCUGAGUAAUGAGUCAUCCCAAAGCAUGGUGGUUUAUAGCAAUAACAACCAUUUAAUUCUUAUUAUCUUUUGCAGGUCUGGGGGAUGAUUUGGCUAGAUGGUUCUAGCUCAGGGUUUCUCAUGUGGUUAUAGUCAGCACAGAGAAUGAAGCUAUCUCAAAGGAUCCCACAGUCCCAUGUCUAGUGUUAAUUUUGGCUGUUGACUGGGACUUCAGCUGAGACUGCCAGUCCAAAACAUGUACUUAUGGGCUCUCCUUGUGGCUUGGGCUUCCUCAGAGCAUGGUGGCUGGGUCCAGGAAUAAGUGUACCACGAUAUAGGAAGUGGACCAGUUUUUAAGGUCUGGACCUGGAAACUGGAACAGCAACACUUCCACUACAUUCAAUUGAGAAAGUCACAGAACAUAGAAGAAAAGGGAGAAAACCUGGACUCAUCUCUUAUUGAGAGGAGCAUCAAAAAUUUUUGUGGCCAUGUUUUACAACCGUUACCAGAAAGGUCCCAAUCCAGACCCCAAGAGGAGGUUCUUGGAUCUUGUUGGUGCAGGAAAGCAUUCGGGGCGAGUCCAUAAAGUGAAAGCAAGUUUAUUAAGAAAGUAAAAGAAUAAAA